AACGAGCGCUGGCGGCAGGCCUAACACAUGCAAGUCGAGCGCGCCUUCGGGUGAGCGGCGGACGGGUGAGUAACGCGUGGGAAUAUGCCCUUCUCUACGGAAUAGUCCUGGGAAACUGGGGGUAAUACCGUAUACGCCCUUUGGGGGAAAGAUUUAUCGGGGAAGGAUUAGCCCGCGUUGGAUUAGGUAGUUGGUGGGGUAAUGGCCUACCAAGCCGACGAUCCAUAGCUGGUUUGAGAGGAUGAUCAGCCACACUGGGACUGAGACACGGCCCAGACUCCUACGGGAGGCAGCAGUGGGGAAUCUUAGACAAUGGGGGCAACCCUGAUCUAGCCAUGCCGCGUGAGUGAUGAAGGCCUUAGGGUUGUAAAGCUCUUUCAGCUGGGAAGAUAAUGACGGUACCAGCAGAAGAAGCCCCGGCUAACUCCGUG
rnacentral:rRNA from 1 species